AAAAGCAACUUAAAGGAGAAAGGCUCUAGCAGAACCAUCAUCAAAGAUAGCAGAGAAACUGCAUCCAGCAACUGAUGGAAGAUACAGAGUACCACAGCCAAACAUUAGGCUGGGCCCUGGGAGUCCUGUGGAGGAGUGAGGAGGAAGGACUGGAGGAACCAGAGGGAUCAGGCACAUCACAAGAACAUGGCCCAAUCAACUACCUGGGACUCAUGGGGGCUCCCAGAGAUCAAGGAGCCUGUAGGGAUCUGACCCCUUCUACAACGUCUGUUUGGGCUGCCUGAAAAGCAAAGCUCAUCUGCUCUCUUUGGCAUCUCAAGACCUCAAGGGUGGUGGUAGAGGUGUGAGGAAUACCUAAAAUAGCACAUUCAGACCCAGUAACAAGCUUUGCACUAGUGGACACUGUAUGGUAAGUAUGGUCACCUGCCCCCAAUUUCAUGCUUAGGUUGGAUUGCUACUGUGGCAAC